rnacentral:lncRNA from 1 species
CAUUGUUGUCGAGCUCAAGGCUCUGGUACCAUAUUAUAAAACUGAGAGGAUAGGAAUUUAACGUCCCAUUUCAUUCAUUGAUUUGAGCUCGAGUUUUAUACAAUGGAUACAAAGCAAAAUGACAAAAUACAUCGAAUCAAUUUGUCUGGAAAUGUUGCAGGUCUGAGAAUCGUGCAACGGUAUUGCCAGAGGCUGCAGGGAGAGAGCUUCCUGCUUGCUGGGUAAGAGAGGGAAGAGCAUUCAUCAUUAUCUCUUUGGUUGGAACGACGCCGUGUUGCGCAAUGAGUGUUUCUCCUUGCUGUAGUAGUGUAGUGAUACGGUGCGCGUUGGAGUGGCGGGAAAAUGAGUGAGCUGAAAAGCUCUCUUUUCCUAAUACCGGCUGGGAAACGUUAAAGUGAAGUAGUGAAAACGCCCGCUCCAAUCAAUAAAGAAAUCGGGAAAGAGGAAUCUUCAGCCACCUGUAAUCCAGCCGGCGGUGUCGUCUGCGGCAAAGAAAUGGCUGGUCCUUCCUCGCUCGACGAAGAGUAAGCUUCCAUUUUCACGGAGCCCAGAUGCUCUGUCGUCUUUACAUUUCCGACUUCUCCGACGCGAAGAAAU